GACGAACGCUGGCGGCGUGCUUAACACAUGCAAGUCGAACGAUGAAGCCGGAGCUUGCUCUGGUGAAUUAGUGGCGAACGGGUGAGUAACACGUGAGUAACCUGCCCUUGACUCUGGGAUAACUGCGGGAAACUGUAGCUAAUACCGGAUACGACCCUCGGAGGCAUCUCCAGGGGGUGGAAAGAAUUUCGGUCAAGGAUGGACUCGCGGCCUAUCAGCUAGUUGGUGAGGUAAAGGCUCACCAAGGCGACGACGGGUAGCCGGCCUGAGAGGGUGAACGGCCACACUGGGACUGAGGAACGGCCCAGGCUCCGACGGGAGGCAGCAGUGGGGAAUAUUGCACAAUGGGCGCAAGCCUGAUGCGGCAACGCCGCGUGCGGGAUGACGGCCUUCGGGUUGUAAGCCUCUUUUAGCAGGGAAGAAGCGAAAGUGACGGUACCUGCAGAAAAAGCACCGGCUAACUACGUGCCAGCCGCCGCCGUAA
rnacentral:rRNA from 1 species